UUUAAAUGGCCGCAGUAUACUAACUGUGCAAAGGUAGCAUAAUCAUUAGUCUUUUAAUUGAAGGCUGGUAUGAAUGGUUGGACGAAAUAUUAACUGUUUCAUAAAAAUUUAUAUUAGAAUUUUAUUUUUUAGUCAAAAAGCUAAAAUUUAUUUAAAAGACGAGAAGACCCUAUAAAUCUUUAUAUUUAAAUUAUUGUAAUUUUGUAGAUUAUUUUUCUUAUAAUAAUUUAUGAUAUUUUAUUGGGGCGGUAUUAAAAUUUAAUAAACUUUUAAUUUUUUAAAAAUCAUUAAUUUAUGAAUAAUUGAUCCGUUAUUAACGAUUAAAAAAAUAAGUUACUUUAGGGAUAACAGCGUAAUUUUUUUGGAGAGUUCAUAUCGAUAAAAAAGAUUGCGACCUCGAUGUUGGAUUAAGAUAUAAUUUUAGGUGUAGCCGCUUAAAUUUUAAGUCUGUUCGACUUUUAA
rnacentral:rRNA from 1 species